GGCCUGGGAUAGCUCAGUAGGAAGAGCAGGAAAAUCUUGAUCUCAGGGUUGUGGGUUUGAGCCCCACGUUAGCCA